rnacentral:lncRNA from 1 species
UGAACAGAUUUACAGUCGCUGCUAUUUUGAUCAUAGCUUGAGAAAUCUGCAUGUCGAAGAAAGUAUUAACGCUGAAUUCUUUGUAAACUCUUGUUAUUGCAAAUUGUAGACGGCUGUUAUUGUUGGGCAUAAUUUUCAAACUGGAAUUCAGGAUCACGCAUAGAGAAUUGUUUAAUACUCUGGAAUUUGUUAAGAACAGGUUAAAAUAUAAUCAGAAUGUCUGCUCAACAACCAGCACAGGUCGUAGCCACUCAGCCUACAACAGUAGUAGCUGCAGGAGGGUGCCCAUCAUGCGGGGUUGGACAGGUGUCAGAAAAUUUCACAACUAUAGGUAUAAUCCUGGCCAUCCUGUUCUUUCCUCUAGGAAUAUUGUGCUGCUUGAUGAUGAAGGAGAAGAAAUGUGACAGAUGUGGCGCGAAAUUUUAGAACACAAAAAUAUUAAAUAUAGUGACUAUAACUAAAGCUCUGUAUAUCAAAUGCAAAGUACUUUACACUUUCUCAGUGGAAAAAUAUUGUACUGACACUAAGGUGUACCGAAGGGAACAUAGCAAUGUGCUUGAUUAUAAGAGGGAUAUAUUAGAAAGGAAUAAGCUUUGAAUGUAAUUAUUAUACAGUUUUCAUCAUCUGUAACUUUGUCUAUAUUUAUUCAUGUUAUUAGAUAUAUUACUUCUUACUGUUUAAAAAGUUGCACGCCUCCAGAUUUUUGUAAUUGUGAAUGUAUCUUCACUUGUUAGUCAGUGUAACCAAAAGGUAAUUAUGUAAUUCAGUUCAUUUUAAGGUAAGUAGUAGUGAUUCGAUGAAUUCUAUUAUUGUAACAUAAAGAUGAAUGUCUGAUUCAACGAUUUUUAUUUGUAACUAAAAUGUGAAUGGGUGA